ACUUGCGCAGCUCUUCCGAGAAGUCGAUGGUGCCGGGCGUGCUGGAGCGGAUGGGCGCGGCCACGGGCGAGUACGGCUUGGCGGAGUACAGCGAGGCGGGCCGGGGAGUCACCGACACCUGCGGGACGGGACGACAAGAGACCCUGCCCAGCCCAGCCGUCGUCCUCACCUUGCCGGAGUCGUCCACGUAGCCGUACUUGCCCAUCACCUCGCCGGUCACCAGCUUGGUCUCGAUCUUGAAGGAGCCGUCGGCUCCCUCGAAGCCGUACGUGUAGGAGCCAUCGUCGUUGUGCCUGCGGAAGAGACGCUGCAGAUUUGAGUGAUGAGUCGAGAGUGGAAUGCAUCGGACCGCCACCGCUGCAGCUGCUAUCGGAACUACCCCAGCUCAGCGACGCGGUCGCCGGCCAACUUCAGCACUUCCGCAAACACGCAAGGCAAAGUACACUGCAGAGCAGCGGCCCCCGUUUCGUUCAUUCCCCGUCGGCCGCCGCUUUCUAAAGCAAAACAGUUUGCAGGUGGAAGAGCCCCGCCCCGCCCCAACCCACCUAGAGGAAGAUGCAGUGCUGUGUCAAGGCGCGCGGGACGGAUCUGUGCCGGCGGGUGGCCCAGAAGACUCCCAUCCCCAGAGAGCCGCGGCCUCGAGGACCGAGGGAACAGCAUUCCAAGGACACGACGACGACGACGACCAACUACGCUAUCGCUAUCAGGUCAGGACACAGGGCACGGUCUACGGUCUGUCUCUUCU